AUUGAACGCUGGCGGAAUGCUUUACACAUGCAAGUCGAGCGGCAGCGCGGGGGCAACCCUGGCGGCGAGCGGCGAACGGGUGAGUAACACAUCGGAACGUGUCCUUAAGUGGGGAUAGCUCGGCGAAAGCCGGAUUAAUACCGCAUAAGCUCUGAGGAGGAAAGCGGGGGAUUCGCAAGGACCUCGCGCUGUUGGAGCGGCCGAUGUCGGAUUAGCUAGNGGUGGGGUAAAGGGCUCACCAAGGCGACGAUCCGUAGCUGGUCUGAGAGGAUGAUCAGCCACACUGGAACUGAGACACGGUCCAGACUCCUACGGGAGGCAGCAGUGGGAAUUUUGGACAAUGGGGCAACCCUGAUCCAGCCAUUCCGCGUGAGUGAAGAAGC
rnacentral:rRNA from 1 species